AGUUUUAUAGUUUAAUAAAAAAUAUUAAUUUUGUAAAUUAAUGAUAAUUCUUAUAAUUUAAAACUU
rnacentral:tRNA from 1 species